GUACUCGCUUUGGCAGUACAUAUACUAAAUUUGGAACGAUACAAAGAUGAGCAGUAUGGCAACACGCAAGGAUGACACGCAAAAUCAUGAAGCCUUUUUAUGGUUU